rnacentral:rRNA from 1 species
UACGUAGGGGGCAAGCGUUGUCCGGAUUUAUUGGGCGUAAAGCGCGUGUAGGCGGUUCGGUAAGUCUGCUGUGAAAGUCGGGGGCUCAACCCUCGAAUGCCGGUGGAUACUGUCGGACUAGAGUGCGGAAGAGGCGAGUGGAAUUCCUGGUGUAGCGGUGAAAUGCGCAGAUAUCAGGAGGAACACCAAUUGCGAAAGGCAGCUCGCUGGGACGUUACUGACGCUGAGACGCGAAAGCGUGGGGAGCAAACAGGG